CUCCAAGUUAUUGGGUUCAACGACUCUUUACUGAAUCUAGUGGAGCAACCUUACUUAAUUCAACUCUCGAAACUUCUUCUCCUGCAAUUGUUGCAUCGACAAUUAAGUAUAAAAAUUCUCAAGAUGGGAAAAAUUAUCUAAGAGUAAAGGUGGUAAACUUUGGAAAAGACAUUGAGAAUUUAGGAAUUUCAAUAAACGGCUUAAAUACAAAUGGGCAACCAUCUGCUUCAUCAAUGGUGGUGCUUACAUCCUCCAAUAUAAUGGAUGAAAAUUCCUUCUCAGAGCCAAUGAAGAUUGUGCCUCGAAGAACAAUAUUCGGGAAUGCAAGCAAGGACAUGAAUGUUAAACUUUCUCCUUAUUCGGUUACAUCAUUGGAUCUAUUAUUUUAAAAUGUUAAGGUGAAAUAUUGCUUUAUUUUUUGAUAGAAUAAGAGAAAUGCAUAUAUUUUUUGUAGAUGAAAUUUAGGUGAGGAGAUGAAGCCCGAAUCUAAUAAAGAAGGAAAAAUCUUAGGGCUAAAAAAACAAUUACAAAAAAUACAUUUAAUUUCCUUGAAGAACACGGGUGGACUCAAAACGAAAACCUCUAUAUGUCUAGAUUCAAGAAAUGUAUAUAUUUCUAUUACAUCUGUAUAUAAAUUAUUAUUAUUAUUAUUAUUAUUAUUAUUAUUAUUAUUAUUAUUAUUUAAUAUCAUCAUCAUCAUCAUCUUUGAGAAUCUAAUUCUUGAUCUUGUAUAUUUCUAGCUAGCACAUAUAUUUUUAUUGAAAAAAACCGUUUAGUUAAUACCAAGGUAAUCAGAACCGGACUGGACAUUAAACCAGCGUGCUUAGGUUUAAUAGGUCGGACCGAUGUUCAAUCGGGUGGAACCGUUUUUUAUUAUAUAUAUAUAUAUAUAUAUAUAUUAAAAUAAUAAUUACCAUUGUUUUUUUUUUAAAAUUAUUCAUCACAUUUUAUGUUGAUUAUUAUAUUUUACUUAUGUUCUUUUUUGUCAAAAAUAAAAGCAAAAGAACUAUAAUGUGAAGUUAAUUACUAUAGUAGAUAGUAGACACCCCAUAAAAUAGAUCUUGGGCCCAUCUACAAAAGCCCUACCCACCGUUCAAAAUUUUAGUAGAGUAAAAGGAAUAGAAAUGUUAUUUGUACAACUAAUUUUGGACAAUAUUUCAUACUCACAUUAUAUUUUUACUCUUUCUCAUUCUCUUUCACUUAAUUGUUUUUUGUAUCGGAUGAAGAAGGAACAAAAAGUUGUUGCAAAAUACUCUCUCCGUCUCAAAAUAUAAGCAAAAGUGGGUCAAAUAAACUUGAUGUAUUUGGUUAAAGAUUUGGACCAAAUACAUCUACUUUUGUUGACCAACUUUUACUUAUAUUUUUGGACGGAGGGAGUAGUUGUACAAAUAACACAACUCUAAAAGAAAAUCCUACUUUAUAUUCUUUCAGCCGCCACCCCUAUGUAGCUUAUUCUUUUUUCUUUAUCCGUUAAACUCAAACUCUACUACUCAUCUCUUCUUCCUCCGUUUACAAACAAUCAUGAAUCAUAGUCACCCACACUACAUUUUCCCUCAUGUUUUAAUUAGCAAAGAUCAGGAUGCAAUACAAAUGAGUUGUUUUUUUGAAGAUCACCAAGAAUAUAAUUUCUCUUCACUCCUUCCUUCUUCUCAUACUAAAAAAUUCUUUUUUUUUAAAAUUUUUUUUUUUAAGAAAAACAGACCAACCCGGUAAACUGCGUGAACCGCAGGUUUUACCCCAGUUUUCCCGGUUUCCAACCGAUUUACGAGUUUAUCUUCUGAUUUUGUGCAUGAGCAAUUUUCAGGCUAAGUCGGACCGGAUGCAUGUGCGGUUCACGGCCCAAUCGGUUAAACUGGCCGGUCCGGUUCGGUUUUUAUUACCAUGGUUAAUAUGCAUUAUCACUUUUAUAUUCUUGAUAAAUUUUGGAAGAAUUUAAGAAGGAUUGCACAAAUAAUAAUAAUAAUAAUAAUAAUAAUAAUAAUAAUAAUAAUAAGGCUUAAUUGCAUAUUUACUAUUUAGUCCCUUAUCUUUAUUUUAGUUACGUUGGUCUCUAUGUUUUAAAAGUUUUUAUUUGAUCGUUUACAUUCAUUCUUUUUAUUAUAUUUUGAGUUAAUUUCGUCUAUCUUUAUCUUAAAUUUUGAGUUGAUUUCGUCUAAAACUUUCACAUGACACCCUCCUAAGUUGUCUUCGUAUGAAAAUUUGUUAGUUACAUGAAUGAUUUAAACGGAAAUUUGACUAAAAUUAAUGACUAAUUUGAAACUUUUUAAACUUAAGGCUUUCACAAAAUCAAAUCAAAAGUAAGGCUUUCUUUCAAACUACACCAAUUAAUCAUAUUAUCAAAAACCAACGGAAUACUCAAAUUCAGAAUCAACCACAAACAAAAUCGUAGAACUAAAUUUACAAUCAACCACACACAUAACUUAUAAUAUAUUAAAAUAGCAUAGAAAUGUAAUAAAAAUAGUCAUGUCAUCCCUUUUAUUAUUACUAGCAGCCAGACGGGCACGUUCCGUGGCCGCCUGUGUGAUAUCCGAAUUUUGUAUUGUAUUAAGUUGUGUAAAAGAUGAUAUUUUAGAUUUUUUAUGAAUAGUUGUCUUUUGGAAAACAACAAAUUAAGUUGGCCAGAGACAUAUAAGUCAAUGUGAAAACAUCUUAAUUGAAAAAAUGAGAACCAAAAAAUGAAAGGAUGGGAAAGGGGAGAUAUAGAAAUUGAAUGUUCAUUAAGCAACAUAUUGAUAUUCAUUGAAAUUCUUCAACAUAAAUUUUUCACACAUUUUCUUUGUAAUGCUUUUUGUGGCAGAGUGUAUAAUUACUCAAAUGAUUGCAUGCAUUCCAUCAAGUUCUUGUUAAAACUUAAAACAAUUGUCUAGGUACAUAUUGGGAAGAAUGAAUUGAACUACAAUCAAGACAAAAACAAAUAUAUAUGUAAAAAGAAUUAUCAUACAACUCCGAUUCUUCCUCUGCUUAAAGUUUAAAAAAUUGAGUAAAAUUAUACAAUCUGCCACAGAAAGCAUUACAAAGAAAAUGUGUAAAAAAUGCAUGUUGAAGAAUUCCAAUGAAUAUCAAUAUGUUGCUUAUAAUGAACAUUAAUUUCUAUAUCUUCCCUUUCCCAUCGUUUUUUCUCUUUAAUAAGAUACAAUAAUAUUGUAGAAACUCUUAGAAGAAACCCAUGACACUUCUAAGUGAAAUACCAAAGCAUAAAUGACAGUCGAAAACAUACUUUUUUUUUAAGAGAAUGAGGAAACAUGUAUAAUAUAUUUUUAUCUCAUCGCUACUUACUUUUUUUUUUUUUUGAAUGGCAAAUAAAAUACAUCACUACUUACUUGUUAUUUGUACAACUAUUUUGCUACAACUUGUUUAUUAAUGAUCACCAUGUCUUUCAUCAACAACAACUUCCCCUCUUUGACUCUCCCUUCUUACGGUCAGUUUAUUUUGUUAGGGAUAUUAUGAUGUCGAUUGAAAAGAAUGGCAGGAGUGGAAUUUGAAACCAAAAAGAGUCACAUUUGGUUUCACAAUUAUAGUAACUGACUCUAUCUCAUUGAGGAUUUUGAAACUUUGAAUUGAGAAAACUGUCUCAUUGAGGAUUUUUAUUUUUUUUAAUAUUUGUUGCACGUCUCGAUAACCGUGCUGUGAAUGGAGAAAAAAUGUAUUGUAUUUUUGUCCAACUUUUUUGUGUUUAUAUAACACACCUCUAGUUUUAUGGACCUUUAGGCAGUCAGAAACAAUUUUAAACAUGAGGUGUUAGCUGAGUGGUAAAGAACAUAAUCUUGUAACUUCAAGAUACAUAGUUCAAAAUCAUUGUGUCACGUAAAACAUUUUUUUUUGGUGUCCUUUUCAAUUCAUUGCUUAUCAAAAUUUUCAUAUAAAAUUGUUCUACUAUAUGUUCAUAAGAAUUUUCCGUCAAAAAAAAAAAUGUACAUAAGAAUUAAUUUUUGAGAACACAAAUAAAAAUAUUCACUAAAAAGCUAUUUACCGUACAAGGUGUGUCACAAAUAGAAAAAUACAUGGGUUAAUAACAACCCAUACAAAAGUCAAAACAUGUACAAUACAACACCCGAGAGGAUAGGUACACCAUUGAUAAAAAUAAAAACAGAAAUCUUUAACAUUAAAUACGAGCUAACUCCAUGAAAAAUUAUUUGCAUCCUAAAACAUUAUGUAUUUCUCACAUUCCUUUAGCGGUUUACUUUUCUCUUUGAUUGUGUGUUUGGUCAUUUCUGAGUGCUAUGCUGAUACUAAUGCUAAUCCCAAUGCUAGCCAGAACAUAUCAAAGUUAGUGAUUGAUGCAGGUUCUGGAAGAAAUAUUCCAGAUACAUUGUUUGGAGUAUUUUAUGAGGAGAUUAAUCAUGCAGGAGCUGGGGGAUUAUGGGCAGAACUUGUGAAUAAUAGAGGCUUUGAAGGAGGGGUUGCUGCCAAUCUUCCCCCCAUUUAUCCAUGGAAAAUUAUUGGAGAGAAUCAAUCAUCCAUUACCGUAUCAACUGAUCUUUCAUCUUGUUUUGAGCGUAAUAAAAUUGCAUUACGCAUGGAUAUUCUAUGNNNNNNNNNNNNNNNNNNNNNNNNNNNNNNNNNNNNNNNNNNNNNNNNNNNNNNNNNNNNNNNNNNNNNNNNNNNNNNNNNNNNNNNACAACAAAUAAAGGGGUAUUAUGGUUAGAUCAAGUGUCAGCUAUGCCUUUGGAUACAUAUAAAGGUCAUGGUUUCCGAAGUGAUCUUUUUAAAAUGGUGGCAGAUUUGAAACCAAAAUUUUUAAGAUUCCCCGGUGGUUGUUAUGUCGAGGGAGAUUAUAUAAAAAAUGCUUUUAGGUGGAAAGAUUCAGUUGGGCCAUGGGAAGAGAGAGCUGGUCACUUAGACGACAUUUGGCAUUAUUGGAGCGAUGAUGGACUUGGUUAUUUUGAGGGUCUUCAACUAGCAGAGGAUCUUGGCGCAUUACCUGUAUGGGUGUUCAAUAAUGGUUUUAGCCAUCACGAUGAAGUUAGUACUGAUGCAAUUCAACCAUUUGUGGAUGAAGCUCUAGAUGGCAUUGAGUUUGCUAGAGGUCCUGCCACAUCACGAUGGGGUUCUCUUAGAGCUUCCAUGGGACAUCCUGAACCAUUUAAUUUGAGAUUUGUUGCUAUUGGAAAUGAAGAUUGUGGUAAAAAGUACUAUGAAGGGAAUUAUAUGAAAUUCUAUGAAGUUAUACGACGUACUUAUCCUGAUAUUCAGAUGAUAUCAAACUGUGACGGUUCUGAUGUACCACUAAACCAUCCUGCAGAUAUCUAUGAUUACCAUAUUUANNNNNNNNNNNNNNNNNNNNNNNNNNNNNNNNNNNNNNNNNNNNNNNGUGUUGGAAGUCUUUAUGCAGCUGUUGCUGAAGCUGCAUUCCUUAUUGGAAUUGAAAGGAAUAGUGAUGUAGUUAGUAUGGUUUCAUAUGCACCCCUCCUUUUAAACACAAACGAUAGAGGGUGGAUACCAGAUGCAAUUGUUUUUAACUCUUAUCAAAGUUAUGGAACUCCAAGUUAUUGGGUCCAACGACUCUUUACAGAAUCUAGUGGAGCAACCUUACUUAAUUCAACUCUCCAAACUUCUUCUCCUACAAUUGUUGCAUCAACAAUUAAGUAUAAAAAUUCUCAAGAUGGGAAAAAUUAUCUAAGAGUAAAGGUGGUAAACUUUGGAAAAGACAUUGAGAACUUAGAAAUUUCAAUAAACGGCUCAAAUACAAAUGUACAACGAUCUGCUUCAUCAAUAGUAAACUUUGGAAAAGACAUCGAAAACUUAAUGGACGGCUUAAAUACAAAUUUGCAACCAUCUGCUUCAUCAAUGGUGGUGCUUACGUCCUCCAAUAUAAUGGAUGAGAAUUCCUUCUCAGAACCAAUGAAGAUUGUGCCUCGAAGAUCUGUAUUUGGGGAUGCAAGCAAUGGAAUGAAUGUUAAACUUUCUCCUUAUUCAGUUACAUCGUUGGAUCUAUUAUUUUAAAUGUUAUGGUGAAAUAUUGUUUUAUUUUUUGUUAGAAUAAGAGAAAUGUAUAUAUUUUUUAAAUAUGAAAUUUAGGUGAGGAGAUGAUGCCCCAAUUUAAGAAAGGAAAAACCUUAGGACUGAAAAAACAAUUACGUAAAAAUACAUUUACUUUCCUUCAAGAGCAUUGGCGGAAUCAAACCGUAAACCUCUAUAUUUCUAGAUUCAAGAAAUGUAUAUAUUUCUAUUACAUAUAAAUUAUUAUUGUUAUUUUUAUCUUUGAGAUAAUCUAAUUCUUAAUCUUAGCCUAUAA
rnacentral:lncRNA from 1 species